rnacentral:sRNA from 1 species
UACUUCUCCAGUUAUAAGUGCUCCAAGGCAACUGCUUUGUGAGGUUAAAACUGACGGUAGCCGCUGGUUUGUUAUACAGAGUCGUGUUCGUAAAGACAUCAGCUUCAAUAGAAACUGGACUGACUAUAAAAACGGCUUCGGGACACCUUGU